CAUGAUAUCUUGUCCGUCUUUUAUCCGUAAUCGUAAGAUGUGUUUAAUUUAAUAAAUAAUUUUCAUUCUUUGUUAAACUUCAAGUUAUUAAGGGUAAACACAUUUUCCUUUCAGAUUGCAACAACUAGCUAGGGUUGAAAAGAAUUCCUUCACAAAAGUCUCAGUUAGCGGACAAUAGAUGGCGUUUGAUCUGGAUAACGAUAUGUUAACAUUGUCACAAUGGAAGCGGUAAUGGUGUGAUUGUGCUUGCUACAAUGCUUUUAGAUGUCGCGACGACAAUGGACUUCGAUCUCCUACGGGUCUCACCGACAUUCUACCGUGCAGAGCCUGCAUGGAAGCAGAAGAGACGGCGGCAUACAUCAUUCUUGAGUGUGGAAGUGUGCCCACAUACCAGUCGAAACACCUGGGGUCACCGAGGACUCUAUUGAGGUCAUGGCUGACAUCAGAGGCUUGAUAAACUACCUUGAGGAGCUGGGAUGGCAGGAUCAGCCACCCACCCCUCAGACUUGCGAAUUUGGGAAGCAUCUUCAGAAUCCUGGCGAGGUGGUUUUGCCGCGGUGCCUUUUUCUAUCGUCAAGAAUUAUUGUCCAAGCUAUAUUGUGUUUCGGAAAUUACUGGAGUGUUGUUAAAAAAUAAUAAAAUUUAAUUGCGU